UGGGGAAUUUUGCACAAUGGGGGAAACCCUGAUGCAGCGACGCCGCGUGAUUUUGAAGGCCUUCGGGUUGUAAAAAUCUUUUCUAUGGGAAGAAAAUGACAGUACCAUAGGAAUAAGGACCGGCUAAUUACGUGCCAGCAGCCGCGGUAAUACGUAAGGUCCGAGCGUUGUCCGGAAUCAUUGGGCGUAAAGGGUACGUAGGCGGGUAAGCAAGUUAGAAGUGAAAUCCUAUAGCUCAACUAUAGUAAGCUUUUAAAACUGCUCAUCUUGAGGUAUGGAAGGGAAAGUGGAAUUCCUAGUGUAGCGGUGAAAUGCGCAGAUAUUAGGAGGAAUACCGGUGGCGAAGGCGACUUUCUGGCCAUAACCUGACGCUGAGGUACGAAAGCGUGGGUAGCAAACAGG
rnacentral:rRNA from 1 species